CCACACUGGGACUGAGACACGGUCCAGACUCCUACGGGAGGCAGCAGUGGGGAAUAUUGGACAAUGGGCGCAAGCCUGAUCCAGCCAUACCGCGUGGGUGAAGAAGGCCUUCGGGUUGUAAAGCCCUUUUGUUGGGAAAGAAAAGCAGUCGAUUAAUACUCGGUUGUUCUGACGGUACCCAAAGAAUAAGCACCGGCUAACUUCGUGCCAGCAGCCGCGGUAAUAA
rnacentral:rRNA from 1 species